CCCUCACUUCCGGUGGGCUCGAGGCGGGGCAGAGAGUUCCUGGAGCGCGUUAAGGCCGUGGUGCUGUUCCGGUGCUCGGCCUACGGCCCAGCACCUGCACGUAUCCCGGCGCCCGCUUCUCCACGCGAGCCCGGUAGGUGUCAGCCAGGCCAGGGCGCGCCGCAGGCUCGUCCCCAGACCCCGACAGGGCGUCGAAGCCCCUCUAGGACGCUGAUUUGUCGCGGUCGCCCGCGAGGGGGCGCCCACGCCUUGCGCUCUGCAGCUCCGUGCACCAGCUGCACAGAAGUGCACGCUAACACGCCUGCAAACCCACCCGGGAGGGGUGUUCACACGAGGGUGCCAUGAACUGUUCUCCUCUCUGACGCCCCUCUGCCAUGAGCCACUCUGCCUUGGAGCCAGCUGAUUAUGGACUGAAACCUCAGCAAACAGUUUUCCUGUGGAUGUGGUUUUCAGCACAUCUGGGUAAACGCCGGCCAUAUGGUAAGAGUGCACAGUUUUGUGGGGAGCUGCCCAGCUGUCCUCCCAGGUGCCAUACUGAGCUGGAGGUAGCUAAGGAAAAGGCUGGGAAACAAGAGAGCUAACCAUCUACCCCGCACGGACUCUGCUGUAGAGACAACAGGACGGAGGACUCCCAGCCUCUCCCUGCCGCUCACAGAGCCAGGGUCUCGACCGUGGCACAGGUGAUAUGGGGCCCAGUGACUGCCAGGGGUGUCAUCCAUCUAUGCUUUGUGAGGUGUGUAGCCGUCCAGCAGCACCCAGGAGGGGAGGCUAGCACUCCCCCUCAAGUCAAGACAAUGGAAAUGUCCCCAGACAUCACCAAAGGUCACCCCCAGUUGAGAACCUGUUUUGGGGGAGUAGGGCUGAAACCCAGGCCUAGAAAGGACAGGCUGUAUCUCUGUCACAUCUCCAGGGGGAACACUAGGGGAGCAGCCGUGCUCUGUGAGGUGAUACGGGGACCCCAGUCCCUUCAGGCACAGUGUUUGCCCCCAAGGGCCUCCCACUUCUGUUGGAGGAGGUGUGAAGGACAUGGCCUGCUGUCUGAGGGGCUCCCCAUGCUUCCCUGGUGACUGAGUGGCCUGGCCACCUCUGGGUUCGAGGAUGGCUAGGGAUGGAGUCUAGCUAGGCAGACACAGCCAGUGCUCCUGACCUGGACCAGUGAUGGUGAACCCUUAAAGCUUUUAACGGCACAGACCGCCUUGGGUUCACUACCACUGUUCUAGAAGUAGAGAUUCUGUCUCCAGAAUGCUUGCUGCCUCCCUAAGGCCCAUAGUCACAGUGUUUGGAGACACAGCCUUUGUGGCUGUAAUUCAGGCCUGUUAAGGAGACGCGGAGGGCAUAAUCCCAUGGAGCCAGCGCCUCAAGCAAGCAAGGACUUGGCAAGCAGGAGCCCUCGCCAGGCCCUAGCCCUAACCCUGGACUCGUGGCAUCCACAGCUGCAGAAAGACGCCCUUCUGUCACUUCAGCACCUGUCUGUGGUGCUUUGUUAUGGCAGCCAGGGCAGAUGAACAGGGAGAGGAACUGAUGGAUACUCGCAAUGUCUGCUAUAGGCCGGAAGCCACAGGGCACUGAAAGAGACUAGAACAAGGAUUUUACUAUCCUUUAUUUAUUUUUUGUUUCUCGUUUUUUAUUUUUGGGUUUUUUGUGGGGGGUUUUUUGAGACAGAGUCUUACUAUGUAAUUCAGGCUGGCCUUGAAUUCAUUAUGUAGCCCAGGCUGGCCUCAAACUCACGGUGAUCCUCUUGCCUCAGCCUCCCAAGUGCUAGGAUUAUGGGCAUGUGCCACAAUGCCUGGCCUGUCUCUUUAAUUAAUAGGAAAUCUGAAACACACAGGAGUAGAGAGAAUCUAAUGAACCUACAUGCCUGUCCACUGGCAGCUUCAGCAGUUGCUAACCAAGGCUGGUUUUGUCUCAUCGACCAUUCCUGCAUGGAUGUGAAAAGAGCCUGACUCCCACUGCCACAGUGCAAACCCGACCAGAGGCUCCUGUCCGGGAGACAAUGAUCUGCCCCAAAGCCCUCCUCCCUCCACAGGUUGGGACUGAGUGCUGGGGCCGCACGGUAUCCUGCACCCGCAAAGGAACAGCCAGAACAGGGCAUGGACCCGACAUGGGCAGCAGCUGUCCUCGGCCUGACUUCCUGAGCUCGGAUCAUAGGAGGUGGUUGGAGCCACAGCUGGGAUGGCAUCUGGUUGAGAGGGCUGUUUGGUGCUGCGGGAAGGGGACGCUGCACCAGAGGGCACCGGUGGCCAGGUCCCUGGCACUCUCGGAAGUCAGGAGGGCUCCACAUGUAAAGCUGAGCCUUUGUGCCCUAGCCUUGUGCCUGUCAGACCAUCUUGGUCCCAUGCCUUGUGGAACCUUGCCUGGCAAGCAGGAGGUUGUCCCCUUCCUGUAAUCCCUGAUGCUUCUAAAGGCAACUAGAUGGAUGUUACACUGUUCUCUAGUUUAUUCUUUUAUUUUCCUGAGACCAUGUCUCACUGUGUACCCAGGCUGGCCUCAAGCUCGCAGCAAUCCUCUUGCCUCAGUGUCCCAAGUGCUGGGAUCACAAGUGUGUACCAUCACAGCCAGUGGUUGCUACUCCUUUUUUUUUGUACCAGGAUCAAACUCAGGACCUUGCGCUUGCGAGGCAGGCAAGGCAUCACUGAGCUUCAUCCCCGGCCCACUUCUUUUUUAAUGAGCCAAGAGUCACAAGUGUGGCCUUCUGGUUUCUCCUUACUGCUCCUCACCAGCUACCCUGGUUACAUUCACGACACAAGAAACCCUUGGCUGAGCCACGUGCAAGAGGUGGUGCCCUGAGAACCACUGAGCGGUGAGCUGGGGCCCACGGAAAGGAGUCUGGAGAGGCUGCAGGAGGCACUGAGGUAUCUGGUUCUCCUCUGUAAAGCACAGGAAGGGACACCAUCUUGGGGGAUUUGGAGGAGUUAAAGAUGGCCAUGUACGUAAAGGUGCUUAGCAGUGAUGUAGGUGUUUUAGAAAAAGAGCCACCAAGCAGAGAGAGGACUCUCUUCGUUGCCUAGGCAACAGUAAGCUCCAGCUUUCAGCAGGCUGUGCUGUGGUUACAGUGACCCAGCAGCCUCCGGCUCCACACUCAAGGGCUCCCUUGGCUGGUGUUGCCUAUCACUGCACUGAACGCCACCAAGCUUACUGUGCCUCCAUCCCAGGACCCAGGUGAAAAGGGCAGAGGGGACGGGGAAGCACACAGUAGCUUCUGAAGCUUCAGCCUGAGCACAGCACACUGACUUUGGGAGCCACAAGGCCAAGCUACAGGAAGGAAGCAAGUAGUGAUCGGGAAUUAUACUCCACCACCACCACCCCGUUCCAGAACCCCAAUCACAGGCACAGUUCAGCCAGGAAAGCAUAAAGCUGCCUAGGUGUCUUGGAGAGCAAGGUCAGGAUGCGGCUGCCCACAGCUGGCAUGUGCCCUGGACGGGACUCCUCUCCCCUGGCAGUGAAGCUGCCUCUCAGCAGCUUCUUAAGACACUGAGUGCAGAUCAGACCCGGUGUGAUCAGCCUCACCAAGCUCAGGGCCUAGGUUUGAUCCGGGGGAGGGGGGGGGGAGCUUGCUAAAUAGCCUUGAGAUGGGCACAGUGAUGCACCCAAUAAUCCUGGCCACUCCAAAUGCUGGCAGGGCUGUGGGGAAAGAGGAACCCUGCUCCACUGCUGGUGGGAGUGUGGACUGGUGCAACCACU